rnacentral:rRNA from 1 species
UACGAGCGGCCCAAACGUUAUUCGGAAUUACUGGGCUUAAAGAGUUCGUAGGCGGCGCGGAAAGUGGGGUGUGAAAGCCCUCGGCUCAACCGAGGAAUUGCGCUCCAAACUACCGUGCUUGAGGAAGCUAGAGGUGAGCAGAACUGAUGGUGGAGCGGUGAAAUGCGUUGAUAUCAUCAGGAAUACCGGAGGCGAAGGCGGCUCACUGGGGCUUUUCUGACGCUGAGGAACGAAAGCCAGGGUAGCAAACAGG